rnacentral:lncRNA from 1 species
CAAUGAUGAUAACAUAGUUCAGCAGACUAACGCUGAUGAGCAAUAUUAAGUCUUUCGCUCCUAUCUGAUGUAUCUGGCGGUAACAUUCUAGUUUAUGCCCCGAAAAGGGGAAUAUAGCCAUUCUAUAAUGUUUGGAGAUUUUGGAUUACUCCUAAUUGUAUGCAAGUUGUCUUACUGUGUAUUGUCCCUUAAUUUCAGGACUCAGAAUUCAUGAUUGAAGAAAUGCAGGCAGACCUGUUAUCCUAAACUAGGGUUUUUAAUGACCACAACAAGCAAGCAUGCAGCUUACUGCUUGAAAGGUGAGGAUUGGAAAUGUUGGGACUAUUAUAAUUGCAGAAUACAUGAUGAUCUCAAUCCAACUUGAACUCUCUCACUGAUUACUUGAUGACAAUAAAAUAUCUGAUAUUCUGCAUUCCCAUGUAGCAUUUUAAUUGAAGUCUGUAAAUGUGGCUAAAAGUCUUGUCUUAUUUUUUGAGACAGGGUCUUGCCUCACCCAAGCUAGAGUGCAGUGGCCUUUGAAGCUUACUACAGCCUCAAACUUCUGGGCUCAAGUGAUCCUCAGCCUCCCAGUGGUCU